GAUGAACGCUGGCGGCGUGCCUAAUACAUGCAAGUCGGACGAAGAUCUAGCUUGCUAGAUCUUAGUGGCGAACGGGUGUGUAAUACAUAAAUAAUCUGCCCAUAUGACUGGGAUAACCAUUGGAAACGAUAGCUAAUACCGGGUAGGUUGAUCGGAGGCAUCUCUGAUGAAUUAACGCAGGAUUUCUACACAAAUGGAUGAGUUUAUGGCGCAUUAGUUAGUUGGUGGGGUAACGGCCUACCAAGACGAUGAGGCGUAGCCGACCUGAGAGGGUGACCGGCCACACUGGGACUGGGACACGGCCCAGACUCCUACGGGAGGCAGCAGUAGGGAAUUUUCGGCAAUGGGCGCAAGCCUGACCGGGCAACGCCGCGUGAGUGAUUAAGGCCUUCGGGUUGUAAAGCUCUGUUGUAAGGGAAGAACAUUCAGGAUAGGAAAUGAUCUUGAACUGACGGUACCUUACCAGAAAGCCACGGCUAACUACGUGCCAGCCGCCGCGGUAA
rnacentral:rRNA from 1 species